GAUGAACGCUGGCGGCGUGCCUAAUACAUGCAAGUCGAGCGAACGGACGAGAAGCUUGCUUCUCUGAUGUUAGCGGCGGACGGGUGAGUAACACGUGGAUAACCUACCUAUAAGACUGGGAUAACUUCGGGAAACCGGAGCUAAUCCCGGAUAAUAUUUUGAACCGCAUGGUUCAAAAGUGAAAGACGGUCUUGCUGUCACUUAUAGAUGGAUCCGCGCUGCAUUAGCUAGUUGGUAAGGUAACGGCUUACCAAGGCAACGAUGCAUAGCCGACCUGAGAGGGUGAGCGGCCACACUGGAACUGAGACACGGUCCAGACUCCUACGGGAGGCAGCAGUAGGGAAUCGUCCGCAAUGGGCGAAAGCCUGACGGAGCAACGCCGCGUGAGUGAUGAAGGUCUUCGGAUCGUAAAACUCUGUUAUUAGGGAAGAACAUAUGUGUAAGUAACUGUGCACAUCUUGACGGUACCUAAUCAGAAAGCCACGGCUAACUACGUG
rnacentral:rRNA from 1 species